GACGAACGCUGGCGGCGUGCUUAACACAUGCAAGUCGAACGGAAAGGCCCUGCUUUUGUGGGGUGCUCGAGUGGCGAACUGGUGAGUAACACGUGAGUAACCUGCCCUUGACUUUGGGAUAACUUCAGGAAACUUGGGCUAAUACCGGAUAGGAGCUCCUGCUGCAUGGUGGGGGUUGGAAAGUUUCGGCGGUUGGGGAUGGACUCGCGGCUUAUCAGCUUGUUGGUGGGGUAGUGGCUUACCAAGGCUGUGACGGGUAGCCGGCCUGAGAGGGUGACCGGCCACAGAGGGAGGGAGAGACAGCCCAGACAGCUACGGGAGGGAGGAGGGGGGAAGAUAGCACAAAGGGCGGAAGAAUGAGGCAGCAACGCCGGGUGCGGGAGGAAGGACGGCGGGAGGGAAAACGCUUUCGCCUGUGAGGGAGCGUAAGGAACGGAAAUGGGGAAAAAAGCACGGGUUAACUACGU
rnacentral:rRNA from 1 species